UGUUCACCAUCACCGAAGUGUAGUUCCAGACAUCCUGACUUGCCUAGACUGUUAUUUGACUACUGGAGCAACAAUGUAUUUUCUUUUUAUUUAUUUCAUCAUUAUAUGUCUGUUCACCAUCACCGAAGUGUAGUUCCAGACAUCCUGACUUGCCUAGACUGUUAUUUGACUACUGGAGCAACAGAACGUACAGAACACGUGCAAUGGGGAUGUUACAUCAGUAGCUAGCUCGAGAUGAUGAUCAGCCACACUGGACUAAGACACAGCCUAGACUCCUAUGAGUGGUAGCAGUGGAGAAUUUUAUGCAAUGGGCAAAAGCCUGAUAGAGUAAUGCCAUAUAAAGGUAGAAGGCUUGCGAGUCAUGAACUUCUUUUCUCAUAAAAGAAGCAAUGAAAGUAUGUGGGGAAUAAGCAUCAGUUAACUCCGUGCCAGCAGCCACGGUAAUAUAAAGGAUGCAAGUGUUAUCUAGAAUGAUUGGGCUUAAAGCAUAUGUAGGUGGCUUUUUAAGUCCACUGUCAAAUCCUAAGGCUCAACCCCUAGACAGGCGGUGGAAACUGCCAAGCUGGAGUAUGGUAAGGGCAUAAGGAAUUUUUGGUGGAGCGAUGAAAUGCGUAGAGAUCAAAAAGAACACCAACGACGAAAGUACUCUACUGGGCCAACAUUGACAUUGAGAGAUGAGAGCAGGGGUGUGAAUGGGAUUAGAUACCUCAGUAGUCCUAGCCAUAAAUGAUGGACACUGGGCUCUGUGCAUAUCAACCCGUGCAGUGCUAUAGCUUACGUGUUAAAUAUCCUACCUGGGCAGUAGAUUCACAAGAAGGAAACUCAAAAGAAUUAAUAAGGGCCUGCAUAAGUAGUGGAACAUAUGGUAUAAUUUCAUACAAAGCGAUGAACCUUACCAGGGCUUAAAAUGCCACGAACCCUCUUGAAAGAGUGGGGUGCCUUAAAAAACGUGGACAUUAGUGGUGCAUGAUUGUCGUCAACUCAUGCCAUAAGGUGUUGGGUUAAGUCCCACAAUGAGCAUAACCCUCAUGUUUAGUUGCCACUGUUGAGUUUGGAACACUGAGCAAACUGCAGGUGAUAAGCCGAAAGAAGGUUAGAAUGAUGUCAAGUCAUCAUGCCCCUUAUGCCUUGGGUGCACACGUGCUACAAUGGCAGGGACAAAAGGUCACAAUCUUGCAAAGGUGAGCUAACUCCAAAAACUCAUCCUCAAUUCAAAUUAAAGGUUGUAACUCGCCUAUAUGAAACUAGAAUCACUAGUAAUUAUCGGUCAACCAUACGACAGUGAAUUCAUUCCCAAGCCUUAUACACACCGCCAGUCACACUAUAGGAGCUGGCUAUGCCCGAAGUCAUUACCUUAAUUGCAAGGAGGGGGAUGCCAAAGGUAAGACUAGUGAUUGGAGUGAAGUCAUAACAAGGUAGCUAUACUUGAAGUUGCAGGUA
rnacentral:rRNA from 1 species